UGACGCCUUACUCAAUCCCUCAAACACAGGCGGACUUGUACUUGCUUUAAGCCCAAAGCACCGUUGACGAUCGAGGCUGCGUCUAUGAAAGUCCCAUCAACUCUUAGUCCCAUACAACUUACGACACGUCGAGAUUAUAUAGGCCCAUUAAGGUGACAGCGCUCCCAACAAAAUUUCUUCAUACCCAGGGUCAAACUCUCGACCUCUGAUUAAGGGUGGAGCAGCCCCAUCCACUGCACCACAAUCCAUGUUGGCGCAUGGAUUAUUUUGGUUGAAUUAACAACAAAGAUUUUCACUUAUUUUGAUGUUUUCUUUUCUUUAUUAUUCCUUCAAUUCAAGGAAAUUUAUGGACCAGUUCUAGUUAAGAUUUGGAGAAGUAUGUGGACCAAUCAAAUUCAAGUAAUUCCAUCACAAAUAAUAAAGCAUAAAUACCUCAACAAAUCUUGUUAAACAAAGAAGCAUUUGUUACUAAUUAUACUCUAAUUAUUCCUACUUUACUCAUUUUAUAUAGACACUAUAAAUAAAGAUCAAAUAUUUAAAUGCCUUAAUUGUCUAUAUGACUAUACUUUUCCUAUACAAAUAAAUGGUAUAUACGCUAAUUUUGUUUUGGCCAUUCUUAGGAGCUCCUAUCCGUUUUACUUUCUUCAUUAUCCAAACUCACAAUCUUUGAGUUGAAAGUAAAAAAUAUUUACCAUCAGUGUAACUCUAUUUUAUUGGUAUAUCCACUACACUAAUUUUCUUUUAGAUUUUUUUUGGGGGUUGGGGGAGGCGAGGGGUUUGAAAUGAAAUAAAGUUAUCAUAAAAAUUGUACAGUGAAACAUAUAUCCAAAUUAAAGUGAGACAAAUAUGACUAGGAUUCACGGAUAUACAUAGUUGUACAAGAAUAACAGUAGUAGUAAAUCCCUCCAAGCUAUAGUUAAAGUGCAAUUUAAAAAAAAAAAAAAUUAUAGUACAAGAUUUUUUUAUCUGCCUACCUAUGAAAGGAAAAAAAGUCUCCCGUAAUUCAUCAGCUUCUCCAUUUUCAUAUUAAUUGUUGAGUUUAAGUGAUGAAAUGUGAAUGAAAAAUAAAGAAAAGGUGAAUUGCGUUUUCAGUUUUAAGAAAAAAAAUGUUUUUUCACAUUAGUGUGGAAGCAUACCUUCUUGUGGAUAGUAAGGCAAGAAGAAGUCGUUCCCUUGACUUCGGCUUUGAGAAAUGAUCGAGAGAUCAUUUUUUGGACAAAGUCCAUUUGAAACUUAAAAAUUAGUGAUGCUUUAAUCCAAAAAACUUGAAAAUUAGUCAUUUAGACGCAUGCAAGUGAGGUCCACAGAUGAGACAAAAGAUUUAGUUUCGCGCAACAAUGCGAUCUACGGACGCGGGUGCCCAUCUGUGGUCGCAGCUGGGGUAUCUCUUUCUUAAUGAUUUUAUUAUUUUUUUAAAAAUAGUUUGAACUUCAUUUUGAUUGUUCAUAAGUUGAUUGAACUUGUAUUUAAAGUUCUUUUUGUACGUACAAAUUUUAUACCCAAAACACAACAUUAAUAGUGAAGCCUACUGCCUCUCUCCAUUUUUCAUUCCUUGUCCAUCUCCCUACCACCGUCCCCACUAACACAAACAUCAUCCUUAUUCACAAUCGUCAUUGCUAAUCACUACAAUUAGUUAUACCGUUUAAAAGCAUCACCAUCAAUUAUAAUUAUCAUAACAACCAUCAAUCACCACCACUAUAUAUGAUUGUUGGCCAACUAUCGCAUUAGUUAUCACUAUCAUCCACACAGCUAUCACCUCCACCAUCAACUACGUACCAUCAACCAUGAUUUUUGUUACAUCUUUUGCAGUACCCAAAAAAAUUAAAUCUCCGAACAUUUUUUGCAUGAACUACAAAAUUUUGUCCAAUCCCCAUUGAAGUAUGAAUCCAACUAGACUUUUAUUGUACAAGCAAAUGUACGACGAUCUUCAGGGUAAAAGGACUUCAGAGAAAUCUUUCGCUUUUUCCCUUUCCUCGACUUCUUUAGGACCAUGCUGCCUAUUAGUGUGAAUAAAAUGAACAUUAUUUUCAUUGUGUCCUCCAUGCAUGUUUGGCUAGUAAAGUGUAAAGUAGAAACACUAUCAACGACUGGAAUAUUAUCUUCGUACAACCUUUUUGGCUGGACUAGUUAAAUUAUCAUAUGGAUGCAAAAUUAUGAUUUUGAUUCAUCAAUUCAUGUUCUUGUUGUUUGAGAAGAUCAAGUGCAAAUGUUGUAACAAUCACUUACCAUGUUUCUUGAGGAAAGUGUCAAGAUCUGCUUUUGGAA